GAUGAGUCUUUUUUCAAUUUGAGUUUUGGUUGCGUUUUCAAUUGGAUUAUAUAAUUUUCUUCUGUUCGUAUAAAUGUCAACGUGCAGUAUAUAGGCGUUUCUGUGUGUUGCCAAAAUUUAAGUUUAACUCGCAAUUUAUAUGUUUUUCAUUUUACAAAGCAAAUUAUAUUAAGCGGUUCUCCGUAAAAAAAAAAAAAAAAAAGAGGAAAAUAAAUUGUAAAGAAACAUAAGCAUUUGAUAAUGACGUGAACAAUGGUUGCUCGCUCACAUGCAAAAAUACACAAAUAAGUAAUACGAAAAUUAGACUCAAUAGCAUGAAAACUCCAAAACCAAUUUGAAAGUCAGAUAUACAUUUCGUACGGUAAAAGGACUACCCAGCAUAAAAUAAAUCAGACUCGAUUUUUU
rnacentral:lncRNA from 1 species